GACGAACGCUGGCGGCGUGCUUAACACAUGCAAGUCGAACGAAGUGGAGAACGGGUGAGUAACGCGUAAUCAACCUGCCAUUCAGAGGGGGACAACAGUUGGAAACGACUGCUAAUACCGCAUACUGAAGGAGGGGAUUGCGUCUGAUUAGCUCGUUGGAGGUGUAACGGCCCACCAAGGCGAUGUGCAGUAGCCGGUCUGAGAGGAUGAACGGCCACAUUUGGACCGAGACACGGGCCAGACCCCUACGGGGUGCAGCAGUGGGGAAUCUUCCGCAAUGGACGAAAGUCUGACGGAGCAACGCCGCGUUGGUGAUGACGGCCUUCGGGUUGUAAAGCUAUGUUAAUCGGGACGCGGUACCUGAAUAGAAAGCCACGGCUAACUACGUGCCAGCAGCCGCGGUAAUUC
rnacentral:rRNA from 1 species